AGAGAUGGGGGGUCUUGCUAUGUUGCCCAGUACAGUUUUGAACUCCUGGCCUCAAGCUAUCCUGCCUCCUCAGCCUCCACAAUAGCUGAGGUUUCAAGCAUGAGAUACUGUGCCUGGUCUGAGUAACCAAUUAAUGCCUACAAUAAAACUCCUGAAUGAAUAUUGGAACUACAGGUAAGGACAUAUGGGGAAACCAAGACAUACAGCAAGUGAAUAACACAGCUAGUGAGUGGCAGAGCUGGGCUUUCAACUCAGGCUCUGGGUCCCACGUCAUUGCUGUCUAUGCUAUGCUGCCUCUCCAAAGGGAUUGUUAAACUUUUCUUUUUCUUGAAUUCCCCAGAAUCAUUGCAUCCCUGCCCUGUGCUGUCUUCCCAUUAUGACGUUUCUUUCUGCUAUCGAAGAGAGCUGACUGCACCAGAUUAUGCAGAGAAUAAAUAGGCCCCCAGACUUCCCUGGAGUGGUCCACGGGGCAAUGCUAUUCAGAAACACUGGCUGAUUGUAACAAUUGUGGCCUCUUCUCCUACAACAGUGAUGCUCUUAGCUGCUCAUGUUUCUCAAGACAACAAUGUUGACUUUGGAACCUGUGAUCUCUCUGGUCACAUACUACACUACAGACCAGCCACCUGAACUUGGAAGCACAGCUGAACUGGAAGAAAACUGCUGGAGACUUUGCUUAUUUCAUAGUAUAUAUAAUGAAUAGGAAAUAUAAAGAUAUUCUUUAAGUUAAAUUAGUUUUGUCCUCUAUUUUCCUGAAUAUACUAUCUUCUGAGCUUCUGGACUGGGCUGCCUUUCAGUCUCCAUUAGCUUGUGGUUGCUUUCCUAGAGAAGCUGGGAGCCCUUUGGGCUUUGCCAGGGCAGGAGCUUCUCAGAGUGCUUUCAGAAUGUGGUGCUUACCCAGUGCUAAGAUCUAGAAUAUAUUCACCCAGCACACUUCCACUUUCCUGUCCCCACAGCCUAAGGCAGGGGAUGAGGGAGUUUGGAAUGGAAGGUUGGGCCUCGGGAAGUUCUCUUCUUCUUAGCAAGUAAGGAGUGAUGCAACCACUCAAUCGUCUACAGGGUAUGACUCAAUGGAGGAAAUUGUAACUCUUCCCUCCAGAUGCUUCUCACCCCAGGCCCUUAGAGCUGCCUGCUAUUACUCAGGGUGAUAAGCAGCACCAUGUUCCCAAAUUCCACCAGGUUUCAAACAUUCAAUGAUCUACAGUUUCUUAUUAUGAAUACUGUUGAAUUAAGAUCUCUGAGAUACAGAACACUACAUAACACGGUUGCGGGUUAGAGGUGCCGAACAUGUCCUGAAGAGGCUGCUAUUUAAUUAUUUGUUUUCUUUUUUUUUUUUUU
rnacentral:lncRNA from 10 species